GCACGUUUAAUAUAUUAAAGGCUGAGGUUUCUCUGCUAAUAAACCCCUUAAUUUUCAUUAACUAUGUUUCCUAAACUUAUUUGAGUUCAAGACACUUACCUGGGAAUUUCACAUCAGUUUUCCCAUCAAUCUGUCAUGACAGACCAUAUAGUCUGGAGGGCAAGCAUGCAGACUUCUAUGGUCACAUAAGCUUAACCUUUCUGAACCUCAGGAUCCUCCUCUGCAAGAUAAAGACUAAAAUUUUACCUAUAUUACAGGUACCCUAAAGACUAAAUUAAAAAAAAAAAAAAGAAAAAGCUGGGGGUGCCUGGGUGGCUCAGUCAGUUAAGCAUCUGCCUUUGGCUCAGGUCAUGGUCCUGGGGUCCUGGGAUUGAGCCCCACAUCGAGCUCCCUGCUCAGUGGGAGUCUGCCUCUCCCCCACCUUCUUGUACCCCUCUCACUCUCUCUCAAGUAAAUAAAAUCUUUAAAAAAGAAAAAGCUAAAAGAGCAAGAAAAAUGGCAAUAAAUAUAUAUCUAUCAAUAAUUACCUCAAAUGUAAAUGGCCUAAAUGCUCCAAUCAAAAGAUAUAGAGUGACAGAAAGGAUAAAAUAAACAAGACCUAUCUAUAUGCUGCCUACAAGAGAUACACUUUAGACCUAAAGACACCUACAGAUUGAAAGUGAGGGGAUGGGCAAAUAUUUAUCAUGCAAAUAGAUGUCAAAAGAAAGCUGGCAUAGCAAUAGUUAUAUAAGACAAAAUAGACUUUAAAACAAAGACUGUAAAAAGAAACAAAGGACACUAUAUGAUAAUAAAAGAGACAAUCCAAAAAAAGAUAUAACAAUUGUAAAUAUUUAUGCACCUAACAUGGGAGCACCCAAAUACAUAAAACAGUCAAUAACAAACAUAAAGGAGAAAUUAAUAGUAAUACAAUAAUAGUAGAUGACUUUAACACCCUACUUACACAAUAGAUAGGUCAUCCAAACAGAAAAUAAAAAAGGAAAACAAAGGCUUUGAAUGACACACCAGACAAGACAAAUUUAACAGAUAUAUUCAGAACACUCCAUCCUAAAACAGCAGAAUCCACAUUUCUUUUUAAGUGCACCUGGAACAUUCUCCAGAAUAGAUUACAUAUUAGGCCACAAAACAAAUUCAAAAAGAUUGAAGUCACACCUGGCAUCGUUUCUGUCCACAACCCUAUGAAACUAGAAGUCAACUACAAGAAAACUGGAAAGACCACAAAAGCAUGCAGGUUAAAUAACAUGCUACUAAACAAUGAACGAAUCAACCAAGAAAUCUAAGAAGAAAUUAAAAAGUACAUGGAAACAAAUGAAAAUACAAUGCCUCAAAACCUUUGGGACACAGCAAAAAUAGUUCUUUUUUUUUUAAAGAUUUUAUUUUUUUAUUUGAAAGGGAGCAGGAGAGGGGGGAGGGUCAGAGGGAGAAACAGACUCCCUGCUGAACAGGGAACCUGAUGUGGGACUCAAUACCAGGACCCCAAGAUCAUGACCUGAACUGAAGGCAGUUGCUUAAUCAACUGAGCCACCCAGGCACCCAUUUCUAAGAGGGAAGUUUAUGACAAUGCAGGCCUACCUCAAGAAGCAAGAAAAAUCUUAAAUCAACAUCCUAACCUUAUACCUAAAGGAGCUAGAAAAAGAACAAACGAAACCCAAAAGAGUAGAAGGGAUGAAAUAAUGAUACAGCAGAAAUAAAUGAUAUACAAACUAAAGAAACAAUAAAACAGAUCAGUGAAACCAGGAGCUGGUUCUUUGAAAAGAUCAACAAAAUUAAUAAACCUCUAGCCAGACUCAUCAAAGGGGGAGGGAAGAAAUAUAGGUCAAUGUCCUUGAUGCACAGAUGCAAAAAUCCUCAAUAAAAUGCUAGCAAACCAAAUCCAACGAUAGAUUUUUUUUAAAAAUCAUUCAUCAUGAUCAAAUGAGAUUUAUUCUCAGGAUGCAAGAGUGGUUCAAUAUUUACAAAUCAAUCAAUGUAAUACAUCACUGCAUAAGAGAAAGGAUAAAAACCGUAUGAUCAUUUCAAUAGAUUCAGAAAAAAGCAUUUGACAAAGUACAACACCCAUUCAUGAUAAACCCUCAACAAAGUAGAUUUAGAGGGAACAUAGCUGAACAUAAUAAAGGCCAUAUAUCAAAAACCUACAGCUAACAUCAUAUGCGAGGGGGAAAAACUGAGAGCUUUGCCCCUAGGGUCAGAAACAAGACAAGGAUGUCCACUCACUACUUUUAUUCAGCAUAGUACUGGAACUCUUAGCCUCAGCAAUCAGACGACAAAAAGAAACAAAAGGCAUCCAAUUCAGUAUGGAAGAAGUAGAACUUUCUCUAUUUGCAGAUGACAUGGUACUAUACAUAGAAAACCUGAAAUACUGCACGCGCGCGCACACACACACACACACACACACACAAUACUAGAACUGAUAAAUGAGUUUGGUACAGUUAUAGGAUACAAAAUCAAUAUAUAGAAAUCUGUUGCAUUUCUGUACACCAAAAAUGAAGCAGCAAAAAGCAAAAUUAAGAAAAAAAAUUUCAUUUACAAUUGCACAAUAAUUAUAAGACACGUAGAAAUAAACCUAACCAAAGAGGUAAAAAAUCUGUAC
ensembl:lncRNA